UACAGAGGGUGCAAGCGUUAAUCGGAAUUACUGGGCGUAAAGCGUGCGUAGACGGUCAUGUAGGUCGGGUGUGAAAGCCCCGGGCUCAACCUGGGAAUUGCAUUCGAGACUGCAUGGCUAGGAGGCGGGAGAGGCAAGCGGUACUCGAUGGGUAGGGGUAAAAUCCGUUGAUCCAUUGAAGACCACCAGUGGCGAAGGCGGCUUGCCAGAACGCGCUCGACGGUGAGGGAUGAAAGCUGGGGGAGCAAACCGG
rnacentral:rRNA from 1 species